GAUGAACGCUGGCGGCGUGCCUAAUACAUGCAAGUCGAGCGAACGGACGAGAAGCUUGCUUCUCUGAUGUUAGCGGCGGACGGGUGAGUAACACGUGGAUAACCUACCUAUAAGACUGGGAUAACUUCGGGAAACCGGAGCUAAUACCGGAUAAUAUUUUGAACCGCAUGGUUCAAAAGUGAAAGACGGUCUUGCUGUCACUUAUAGAUGGAUCCGCGCUGCAUUAGCUAGUUGGUAAGGUAACGGCUUGCCAAGGCAACGAUGCAUAGCCGACCUGAGAGGGUGAUCGGCCACACUGGAACUGAGACACGGUCCAGACUCCUACGGGAGGCAGCAGUAGGGAAUCUUCCGCAAUGGGCGAAAGCCUGACGGAGCAACGCCGCGUGAGUGAUGAAGGUCUUCGGAUCGUAAAACUCUGUUAUUAGGGAAGAACAUAUGUGUAAGUAACUGUGCACAUCUUGACGGUACCUAAUCAGAAAGCCACGGCUAACUACGUGCCAGCAGCCGCGGUAAUACGUAGGUGGCAAGCGUUAUCCGGAAUUAUUGGGCGUAAAGCGCGCGUAGGCGGUUUUUUAAGUCUGAUGUGAAAGCCCACGGCUCAACCGUGGAGGGUCAUUGGAAACUGGAAAACUUGAGUGCAGAAGAGGAAAGUGGAAUUCCAUGUGUAGCGGUGAAAUGCGCAGAGAUAUGGAGGAACACCAGUGGCGAAGGCGACUUUCUGGUCUGUAACUGACGCUGAUGUGCGAAAGCGUGGGGAUCAAACAGGAUUAGAUACCCUGGUAGUCCACGCCGUAAACGAUGAGUGCUAAGUGUUAGGGGGUUUCCGCCCCUUAGUGCUGCAGCUAACACAUUAAGCACUCCGCCUGGGGAGUACGACCGCAAGGUUGAAACUCAAAAGAAUUGACGGGGACCCGCACAAGCGGUGGAGCAUGUGGUUUAAUUCGAAGCAACGCGAAGAACCUUACCAAAUCUUGACAUCCUUUGACAACUCUAGAGAUAGAGCCUUCCCCUUCGGGGGACAAAGUGACAGGUGGUGCAUGGUUGUCGUCAGCUCGUGUCGUGAGAUGUUGGGUUAAGUCCCGCAACGAGCGCAACCCUUAAGCUUAGUUGCCAUCAUUAAGUUGGGCACUCUAAGUUGACUGCCGGUGACAAACCGGAGGAAGGUGGGGAUGACGUCAAAUCAUCAUGCCCCUUAUGAUUUGGGCUACACACGUGCUACGAUGGACAAUACAAAGGGCAGCGAAACCGUGAGGUCAAGCAAAUCCCAUAAAGUUGUUCUCAGUUCGGAUUGUAGUCUGCAACUCGACUACAUGAAGCUGGAAUCGCUAGUAAUCGUAGAUCAGCAUGCUACGGUGAAUACGUUCCCGGGUCU
rnacentral:rRNA from 1 species